rnacentral:rRNA from 1 species
AGAGCUCAGAUUUGAAAUCGUGCUUUGCGGCACGAGUUGUAGAUUGCAGGUUGGAGUCUGUGUGGAAGGCGGUGUCCAAGUCCCUUGGAACAGGGCGCCCAGGAGGGUGAGAGCCCCGUGGGAUGCCGGCGGAAGCAGUGAGGCCCUUCUGACGAGUCGAGUUGUUUGGGAAUGCAGCUCCAAGCGGGUGGUAAAUUCCAUCUAAGGCUAAAUACUGGCGAGAGACCGAUAGCGAACAAGUACUGUGAAGGAAAGAUGAAAAGCACUUUGAAAAGAGAGUGAAACAGCACGUGAAAUUGUUGAAAGGGAAGGGUAUUGCGCCCGACAUGGGGAUUGCGCACCGCUGCCUCUCGUGGGCGGCGCUCUGGGCUUUCCCUGGGCCAGCAUCGGUUCUUGCUGCAGGAGAAGGGGUUCUGGAACGUGGCUCUUCGGAGUGUUAUAGCCAGGGCCAGAUGCUGCGUGCGGGGACCGAGGACUGCGGCCGUGU